AACGAACGCUGGCGGCAUGCCUAACACAUGCAAGUCGAACGAAACCUUCGGGUCUAGUGGCGCACGGGUGCGUAACGCGUGGGAACCUGCCCUUAGGUUCGGAAUAACUCCCCGAAAGGGGUGCUAAUACCGGAUAAUGUCUUCGGACCAAAGAUUUAUCGCCUUUGGAUGGGCCCGCGUUGGAUUAGCUGGUUGGUAGGGUAAAAGCCUACCAAGGCGACGAUCCAUAGCUGGUCUGAGAGGAUGAUCAGCCACACUGGGACUGAGACACGGCCCAGACUCCUACGGGAGGCAGCAGUGGGGAAUAUUGGACAAUGGGCGAAAGCCUGAUCCAGCAAUGCCGCGUGAGUGAUGAAGGCCUUAGGGUUGUAAAGCUCUUUUACCCGGGAUGAUAAUGACAGUACCGGGAGAAUAAGCACCGGCUAACUCCGUG
rnacentral:rRNA from 1 species